rnacentral:rRNA from 1 species
GACGAACGCUGGCGGCGUGCUUAACACAUGCAAGUCGAACGGUAAGGCCCUUCGGGGUACACGAGUGGCGAACGGGUGAGUAACACGUGGGUGAUCUGCCCUGCACUUCGGGAUAAGCCUGGGAAACUGGGUCUAAUACCGGAUAGGACUCCGGACUGCAUGGUCUGGGGUGGAAAGCUUUUGCGGUGUGGGAUGGGCCCGCGGCCUAUCAGCUUGUUGGUGGGGUGAUGGCCUACCAAGGCGACGACGGGUAGCCGGCCUGAGAGGGUGACCGGCGACACUGGGACUGGGAUACGGCCCAGACUCCUACGGGAGGCAGCAAUGGGGAAUAUUGCACAAUGGGCGCAAGCCUGAUGCAGCGACGCCGCGUGAGGGAUGACGGCCUUCGGGUUGUAAACCUCUUUCAGCAUCGACGAAGCGAAAGUGACGGUAGGUGCAGAAGAAGGACCGGCCAACUACGUGCCAGCAGCCGCCGUAA